GCCAAGCCAAUUCCUCCUGUAUAAUCGACGUGGAGAAUGAACAGCUGCUUCUCAAUCAUUGGCCACUGUUGUAUUCCUAGGCUCCUUUAACAGCUGUGAAACAGAAUUCCUAUUCAGAAUUUUAUGACCGUCAACCAAGCAGAGAGACUAUUCUCCUCUCUCUCUGGUGAUGGAGAUUUUGUGCUCCUCUUCCUUUUUAGAACUCUUACCCUUUCUCCAUCCUUCCUGACUGUUGUUCCAUGUAUGUGGGAUUCCAACUACAUCUGAUGUCUGCUGAUGAAACUUCAAGUACUGAAGAUCCCCUGGUUUUUGCUGCUGCUUCUAAUAAGAACUAGUCAACUUGCCCAGUCAAUAAUGAAGAGAUUCAUAUUCUCCUAUUUGAUGGGAAGUUUGAACAAUGACAACUCCAUGUCUCGCUUCACAGUUACACAAGGAUAAAUGAUUAAGCAUAAGCCCUAAAUUAAAACAGGCCAAACCAAAUAUUUAAGAAAUUUCUUCCAUCGAUCUUUUAUUAUUUAAAGAAAAGAUGGUGAGUUUUGGCUGGAACCUUGUGGUCAACUAUUUUUUAAACGAAUAUAGAGUUGGGAUAGCAGCUUACUGAUAUUUCAGAUUUUUUGAGAUCUGAGUCUG
rnacentral:lncRNA from 1 species